rnacentral:rRNA from 1 species
AUUGAACGCUGGCGGCAUGCCUAACACAUGCAAGUCGAACGGCAGCACGGUGUGUAGCAAUACACAUGGGUGGCGAGUGGCGGACGGGUGAGUAGAAAGUAGGGAUCUGCCUUAUAGAUUGGGAUAACUUGGGGAAACUCGAGCUAAUACCGGAUAAGCACUACGGUGGAAAGCAUGGGACCGAAAGGCCAUGCGCUAUAAGAUGAACCUACGUCGGAUUAGCUAGUUGGUUAGGUAAAGGCUGACCAAGGCGAAGAUCCGUAGCUGGUCUGAGAGGAUGAUCAGCCACACUGGGACUGAGACACCGGCCCAGACUCCUACGGGAGGCAGCAGU